rnacentral:misc_RNA from 1 species
AACCUUUGCUGUCUUGGGACGGAUCACCACUGCAAGAGGGGAAGUUGCUACUGUGAUGAAUUCUGCCAUGUGGCACCAGACUGCCACCCAGACCACAGUGUCCUCUGCAACCCUGGUAACUCACAUACAGGCCCGAUUCCACCGACAGCAAAGCUGGAUGCUAUGGCUGGCAGAGGCAAACCCUUUGCCUGCACUUCAGGCCAAAGCCGGGAUGUGGCCUAGAUGGUUCCUAAGCUUCUCAGAUGACCAAGAUGGUGCUGCAGAUGGUGCUGAGGAUGGAGAACCCACCAAGCCCCGCUAGGAGCCACCUAGACUGGAUGCAGAGCAUGGUUCAGCGAGUUCUCCAAACCAGCCUCCCAGGAAUGCCAUUCACCAUGGCUGUGAGGAGAAUAAAGAAGAGAGCCUGACUCCUCUCCUGAGGCCCCUUCCCCACCCUGAGCCAGCAGGAUCCACGGAGCAGAGGUCAUCUGUCCCCAGCUUGGCCCACUGAGGCCAGCAUGGCU